rfam:Gossypium arboreum cultivar AKA8401 contig_3041_1, whole genome shotgun sequence.
AACUAAUGAUUAGGGCACCUUAUCAAAAGAUCCUUAAAUCUCUCUUAUUCAUCAUAUAAUGCCUCCAAAUCAAUUUGAGCAAAAGAAGAAAUAUCGUUCCUCAACUU